AUUGAACGCUGGCGGCAGGCCUAACACAUGCAAGUCGAGCGGCAGCGGGAAAGUAGCUUGCUACUUUUGCCGGCGAGCGGCGGACGGGUGAGUAAUGCCUGGGAAAUAGCCCAGUCGAGGGGGAUAACAGUUGGAAACGACUGCUAAUACCGCAUACGCCCUACGGGGGAAAGCAGGGGACCUUCGGGCCUUGCGCGAUUGGAUAUGCCCAGGUGGGAUUAGCUAGUUGGUGAGGUAAUGGCUCACCAAGGCGACGAUCCCUAGCUGGUCUGAGAGGAUGAUCAGCCACACUGGAACUGAGACACGGUCCAGACUCCUACGGGAGGAAGCAGUGGGGAAUAUUGCACAAUGGGGGAAACCCUGAUGCAGCCAUGCCGCGUGUGUGAAGAAGGCCUUCGGGUUGUAAAGCACUUUCAGCGAGGAGGAAAGGUUGAUGCCUAAUACGUAUCAACUGUGACGUUACUCGCAGAAGAAGCACCGGCUAACUCCGUGCCAGCAGCCGCCGCGGUAA
rnacentral:rRNA from 1 species